UACAGAGGUCUCAAGCGUUGUUCGGAUUCAUUGGGCGUAAAGGGUGCGUAGGCGGCGCGGUAAGUCGGGUGUGAAAUCUCGGAGCUUAACUCCGAAACUGCAUUCGAUACUGCCGUGCUUGAGGACUGGAGAGGAGACUGGAAUUUACGGUGUAGCGGUGAAAUUCGUAGAUAUCGAGAGAACGACCGGUGGCGAAGGCGGGCUACCUGGACGGUGACUGACG
rnacentral:rRNA from 1 species